rnacentral:rRNA from 1 species
AGUGAACGCCGGCGGUAGGCCUAACACAUGCAAGUCGAACGGCAGCACCGUAAGUGCUUGCUCUUACGGGUGGCGCGUGGCGGAAGGGUGCGGACUACUUCGGAUUAUACUUUUUCGUGGGGGCUAACGUAGGGAACCUUCCGCUAAUAAAGCAUACAUCCUACGGGUGAAAGCACGCGACCUUCGGACCUUGUGCGAUUGAAUGAGCUAACGUCGGAUUAGCUAGUUGGCGGGGCAAAGGCCCACAAAGGCGACGAUCCGUAUCUGGUCUGAGAGGAUGGUCAGCCACACUGUAAGAGAGACACGGUCCAGACACUGACGGUAGGCAGCAGUGGGGAAUAUUAGGCGAGGGGGGCGAGCCUAAUCCAGCCAUACCGCGUGAGUGAAGAAGGCGCUCGGGUGGGAGAGCGCUGUUGUUGGUAAAGAAAUGCAGCAGGUUAAUCCGCCACUAUACUGACGGUACCCGAAGAAUAAGCACCGGCUAACUUCGUG